CCAAUAAGAUUCUUUUUUUUUGCCAUGUCACAGACCAUGUUGGACUUCUAAUAAUUAUGACUAAACACACGGUUCUCUUUUUCGCACACAAAAUUUAACAUUUUCAGAAGUUUGUCCAUUUAAUUUAUGUAGCCCAGCACGAACCAAUCUUGGUCCACCAAAAGUCCAUAUGAACUUCCAUCUUCUUCCUCGGCUACGAAACCUUUGCUUCCACAACCUCUGGGAUACUGUCUUCAUAACACCUCUCCUCUGCAUUCAAUUAAUUAAGAUCCUUCAAUUCAGCCAUCCCAUUACUUGAUAUUUAACUCACCAGUUUCGUAUUCUUCUCUGAAACGCUACCACCCAAACGGAUCGCCUAUACACUGUGUAAGAGAUAGAAACAGAGAGAGAGAGAGAGUGGAGUUUACUAAGAUAGAGAUGGGAGGUGUGACUUCUUCAAUUGCGAUGAAGGUGGUGCUCUUCGGCCGUAUCAGUUAACUUGCAAGGCAAUCAGAGACAACGCAUCGGUGGUCCGAUGUUGGAGCUCUCUAUCGAGCUAACUAUUCAGCUUUUUGUCAAUUUGAUGGGAAAACGAGUAUCGUUUCCAAAGGAGAGGAAAUCUAUCUAAAUAUAUCCAAAGUACCAGGAGAUUGUUAAUAUUCGCUUAGGUGAUGGAUCUAUGAGACGUGGUCAGGUCAUGGAGGUUGAUGGCGAGAAAGCUGUUGUCCAAGGCAAUUGGCUGUACAAGUUCAAUGUUCUCAAUAAACUUAUUUUCUUUUGGUUUCAGGUUUUUGAAAGAACAUCUGAAAUUGACACCGUUCAAUUCACUGAGUUACUGAAAACACAUGUAUCUCAAGAGAUGCUUGGGCGCAUUUUUAACGGCUCAAGAAAGACAAUUGAUUAUGGCCCUCCUAUUUUGCCUGAGGCAUACCUUGAUAUUUCUGAUGAUACAAACAGGAAUAGAUGGUCUCAUGUUCCUUGCAGAUGUGCAUGAGACUAUUCCUGAAGGCAUUAAUCUUAGAGGAGACAUAAACGUCUGUGCUAAAUACUCAUUCCUAAGUCCUCUUCUGCAGCUGUGUUGGUUGCAACUGUGGCUAAAAAAACCUGAAACUCAGGCUGGUGCCUUAACGCUUGAUAAUGGAAUAUGUUGCGUUCAUGAGUUUGACAAGAUGGAUAUGUAAAACCAGGCUGCAAUUCGAGAAGCCAUGGAGCAGCCACAAUAAGCACUAUUUUUCUGUGUGUAGAUCCGUCUACUUCCCAUGUUUGAGGAGUAUAACUUACUCAUACGGUAAAGAGAAAGAACACCGACUCCAAUGGAUUUGAUGAAGCUCCAAGAACAGCUCAUAGCAGAGCAUGAGGCACUUUACGAGUCAAAACCGAGCCCAUUUAAACCCCUUGGUGAUUUAAAAGGCUCCUGGAAUGUCAACCGGUGCCGGUGGUGCUGCAACCAACCGAAGACUUUCCUUAAGAGCCGGAAUGUGUGGGCAAAAUGUGUUAAUUAUCAUCCGUUUGUUACUCAUAAGCUUGCUCUGUACAACAUAAAGGUUGAGGCAAAAUGUGCUGCGAGCUGAUCUGCAUUUUGUUUAUAGAUGCCAUUGGAAAGUAGAGAUUUGUCUGUAACCUAAACGGUUCUAUAAGCACUGCAAGUUUUGAUAAGUUUGGAUGUUCUAUGCAAGGAUGCAUGACUAUUAACUUUACGAGUC